CACCCCCCCCCUUUGCCGCUGCCGCCCGACCCCGAGCAAGCCACCAUGCCCAACCCCACGGCCGU
rnacentral:tRNA from 1 species